CGGAAACUCCCGGCGAUGUUUAUAUUGAAGAUGAGGCCAACCGAACUAUACUGGGGGAACGGCAGUUUUAUCACAACCUAACAUGAAGCGGGAGAAUUGAUAUACGCCUGACCAAUCGUGAGAUCAAAGGCAUAAAAAAAGGGGUCUGCGGAAUUUCCAGCCACAACAACACUCCCCUCGUUCUGUGCCCUUGGUCAAGGCUCCACACCCAGUUCUGCUGUCUCCCACACACACACCAUCUGUCGAAGUCCCUCUGAUACAGCUGUUUGCGACUGCUGGAGAUCCAGUAAAUCUUUUUU